rnacentral:rRNA from 1 species
AGUGAACGCUGGCGGUAGGCCUAACACAUGCAAGUCGAACGGCAGCACAGUAAGAGCUUGCUCUUACGGGUGGCGAGUGGCGGACGGGUGAGGAAUACAUCGGAAUCUACUUUUUCGUGGGGGAUAACGUAGGGAAACUUACGCUAAUACCGCAUACGACCUACGGGUGAAAGCAGGGGAUCUUCGCACCUUGCGCGAUUGAAUGAGCCGAUGUCGGAUUAGCUGGUUGGCGGGGUAAAGGCCCACCAAGGCGACGAUCCGUAGCUGGUCUGAGAGGAUGGUCGGCCACACUGGAACUGAGACACGGUCCAGACUCCUACGGGAGGCAGCAGAGGGGAAUAUUGGACAAUGGGCGCAAGCCUGAUCCAGCCAUACCGCGUGGGUGAAGAAGGCCUUCGGGUUGUAAAGCCCUUUUGUUGGGAAAGAAAAGCAGCAGGUUAAUACCCCGCUGUUCCGACGGUACCCAAAGAAUAAGCACCGGCUAACUUCGUG